UACGAAGGGGGCUAGCGUUGCUCGGAAUCACUGGGCGUAAAGCGCACGUAGGCGGACUCUUAAGUCGGUGGUGAAAUCCUGGAGCUCAACUCCAGAACUGCCUUCGAUACUGAGAGUCUUGAGUCCAGGAGAGGUGAGUGGAACUGCGAGUGUAGAGGUGAAAUUCGUAGAUAUUCGCAAGAACACCAGUGGCGAAGGCGGCUCACUGGCCCGGUACUGACGCUGAGGUGCGAAAGCGUGGGGAGCAAACAGG
rnacentral:rRNA from 1 species